GAUGAACGCUGGCGGCGUGCCUAAUACAUGCAAGUCGAGCGAACAGACGAGGAGCUUGCUCCUCUGACGUUAGCGGCGGACGGGUGAGUAACACGUGGAUAACCUACCUAUAAGACUGGGAUAACUUCGGGAAACCGGAGCUAAUACCGGAUAAUAUAUUGAACCGCAUGGUUCAAUAGUUAAAGACGGUUUUGCUGUUACUUAUAGAUGGAUCCGCGCCGCAUUAGCUAGUUGGUAAGGUAACGGCUUACCAAGGCGACGAUGCGUAGCCGACCUGAGAGGGUGAUCGGCCACACUGGAACUGAGACACGGUCCAGACUCCUACGGGAGGCAGCAGUAGGGAAUCUUCCGCAAUGGGCGAAAGCCUGACGGAGCAACGCCGCGUGAGUGAUGAAGGUCUUCGGAUCGUAAAACUCUGUUAUUAGGGAAGAACAAAUGUGUAAGUAACUAUGCACGUCUUGACGGUACCUAAUCAGAAAGCCACGGCUAACUACGUG
rnacentral:rRNA from 1 species